rnacentral:rRNA from 1 species
GACGAACGCUGGCGGCGUGCUUAACACAUGCAAGUCGAACGGAAAGGCCCUGCUUUUGUGGGGUGCUCGAGUGGCGAACGGGUGAGUAACACGGGAGUAACCUGCCCUUGACUUUGGGAUAACUUCAGGAAACUGGGGCUAAUACCGGAUAGGAGCUCCUGCUGCAUGGUGGGGGUUGGAAAGUUUCGGCGGGUGGGGAUGGACUCGCGGCUUAUCAGCUUGUUGGUGGGGGAGUGGCUUACCAAGGCUUUGACGGGUGGCCGGCCUGAGGGGGGGACCGGCCACAUUGGGCCUGAGAGACGGCCCAGACUCCUACGGGAGGCAGCAGUGGGGAAUAUUGCACAACGGGCGGAAGCCUGAUGCAGCAACGCCGCGUGCGUGAUGCCGGCCUUCGGGUUGUAAACCGCUUUCGCCUGUGACGAAGCGUGAGUGACGGUAAUGGGUAAAGAAGCACCGGCUAACUACGUG